rnacentral:rRNA from 1 species
CCUACGGGUGGCAGCAGUGAGGAAUCUUUGUCAAUGGGCGCGAGCCUGAACCCGCCUAGUAGCGUGAAGGAUGACUGCCCUACGGGUUGUAAACUUCUUUUAUAAAGGAAUAAAGUGAGGCACGUGUGCCUUUUUGUAUGUACUUUAUGAAUAAGGAUCGGCUAACUCCGUGCCAGCAUCCGCGGUCAUAAUGAGGUUCCGAUCGUUAUCAGGAUUUAUUGGGUUUAAAGGGAGCGUAGAUGGGUUGUUAAGUCAGUUGUGAAAGUUUGCGGCUCAACCGUAAAAUUGCAAUUGAUACUGGCAGCCUUGAGGACAGUUGAGGUAGGCGGAAUUCGUGGUGUAGCGGUGAAAUGCUUAGAUAUCACGAAGAACUCCGAUUGCGAAGGCAGCUUACUAAACUGCCACUGACAUUGAUGCUCGAAAGUGUGGGUAUCAAACAGGAUUAGAUACCCCAGUAGUC